ACACUCUCGCCGAAAGUCCAAGGGUUCCUGCUUAAAGCUAAUCUGAGCAGGGUAAGCCGACCCCUAAGGCGAGGCCGAAAGGCGUAGUCGAUGGGAACCAGGUUAAUAUUCCUGGGCCAGAUGGAAGUGACGGAUCUCGAGGGUAGUUCAUCCUUAUCGGAUUGAAUGGGCUGCUUAGAGGUUCCUGGAAAUAGCUCCAUCGCUAGAUCGUACCCUAAACCGACACAGGUGGACUGGUAGAGAAUACCAAGGCGCUUGAGAGAACUAUGUUGAAGGAACUCGGCAAAUUACCUCCGUAACUUCGGGA
rnacentral:rRNA from 1 species